UACAGAGGGUGCAAGCGUUAAUCGGAAUUACUGGGUUUAAAGGGUGCGUAGGCGGUUUAAUAAGUCAGAUGUGAAAGUCAUACGCUUAACGUAGGAAUUGCAUUUGAUACUGUUAGGCUUGAAUCGGGUUGAGGUAAGUGGAAUGUGGCAAGUAGCGGUGAAAUGCAUAGAUAUGCCAUAGAACACCAAUUGCGAAGGCAGCUUACUAGACCUAGAUUGACGCUGAGGCACGAAAGCGUGGGUAGCGAACAGG
rnacentral:rRNA from 1 species